GGAAAAAGCUUCGAUUUCUUGCGAAUUUUGCCUCCUCUGAUGUCAAAGUCUCGAUCUUUCUUCCUGCUCUCCUCAGCUCUCUUCGCCGAACGUAAGAAUUCGAAGGACUUGAGCUAGAAGGACCAUGGGGAAGAGAUCCAGGAGUCAGAAAAAGGAGAAGAGGGGCUCUAAGAGGAGGGCUGUCGAUGAAGACGUGGCCUUGGAAGACAUCGAUGACGAAAUAGAUGCCUUUCACAAACAAAAAUAUGUUGAGCCGCCGAACAUUUGUAGUGAUGCUGGGUAGUCAGAUGGUGACAAUGAACAGCCUGUUUUUGAUUUUAAGGAUGAAGAGGAUGAAGAGGAGGAUGGAGAUGAUGACACUCAAUUGCCUGGGCUUGCUGCGAAAAGUAAGAUUGUCUCGAGUUAUUUUGCUUUUCUUGAGUUACUACUACUGCCCACCGAAGUUGUCCUUUUCUACAUGCCAAUUCAUCAGAAAGUUCCUAAUUCUCUGGAGUAAGUUGUCAUACCUGCUCAACAUUUAAUAUCUGAAGCUAAGUUGGCUUAAGCUCUGCAGUCAAUAAUUCUGGUUAGAAAACUGGAAGUCUUGUUGGCCAUGAAGUCCUUGGAAGUAAAUGUGUUAACUGCUAGUAGAUGAAGCACUCUGAAAUUGCAGUCUAAGUGCAUGUUUUCUUGUGUUGAGUCUGGUAUUAUGGGAAUUAGGUGCUAGUUAUUGAUGAGAUUGGCCUAAAAAUAGCUGUUUAAUUUUUAACCAGUCUUCAAGAGUUGGUUUGCUCUGUGUUUCACUCUGGUUUGCCUGUUCAUGUCAUUUCAACAGUAAAACCUUUACUGGUGAAUUUGUGAUGCUGUAACAUCAAAUAAAAGUGAUGGAAUAUGAUCUCAUUUGAAUAUGAUAUAUUGGAACAUUUUUAGGGAGCUCUGCUAUCUUUUCAUAUUCUCCUUGUGAAUUUGUGUGGAGAGGAAAAAUAUCCUCUGAUUUCGCCAAGCCUGCCAUAAUAGAAUGUACAGGUAAAGCAACCAAUAGCAGUAUGCUCUUCUAUUAUCAACUUCACAUGCUGCCAUGCU